UUAAGCGACUAAGCGUACACGGUGGAUGCCCUGGCAGUCAGAGGCGAUGAAGGACGUGCUAAUCUGCGAAAAGCGCCGGCGAGGUGAUAUGAACCUUUGACCCGGCGAUGUCCGAAUGGGGAAACCCAGUGCAAUUCGUUGCACUAUCGUUAACUGAAUACAUAGGUUAACGAGGCGAACCGGGGGAACUGAAACAUCUAAGUACCCCGAGGAAAAGAAAUCAACCGAGAUUCCCCCAGUAGCGGCGAGCGAACGGGGAGCAGCCCAGAGUCUGAAUCAGCUUGUGUGUUAGUGGAAGCGUCUGGAAAGUCGCACGGUACAGGGUGACAGUCCCGUACACGAAAGCACACAGGCUGUGAACUCGAAGAGUAGGGCGGGACACGUGGUAUCCUGUCUGAAUAUGGGGGGACCAUCCUCCAAGGCUAAAUACUCCUGACUGACCGAUAGUGAACCAGUACCGUGAGGGAAAGGCGAAAAGAACCCCGGCGAGGGGAGUGAAAAAGAACCUGAAACCGUGUACGUACAAGCAGUGGGAGCACCUUCGUGGUGUGACUGCGUACCUUUUGUAUAAUGGGUCAGCGACUUAUAUUCUGUAGCAAGGUUAACCGUAUAGGGGAGCCGAAGGGAAACCGAGUCUUAACUGGGCGUUAAGUUGCAGGGUAUAGACCCGAAACCCGGUGAUCUAGCCAUGGGCAGGUUGAAGGUUGGGUAACACUAACUGGAGGACCGAACCGACUAAUGUUGAAAAAUUAGCGGAUGACUUGUGGCUGGGGGUGAAAGGCCAAUCAAACCGGGAGAUAGCUGGUUCUCCCCGAAAGCUAUUUAGGUAGCGCCUCGUGAACUCAUCUUCGGGGGUAGAGCACUGUUUCGGCUAGGGGGCCAUCCCGGCUUACCAACCCGAUGCAAACUACGAAUACCGAAGAAUGUUAUCACGGGAGACACACGGCGGGUGCUAACGUCCGUCGUGAAGAGGGAAACAACCCAGACCGCCAGCUAAGGUCCCAAAGUCAUGGUUAAGUGGGAAACGAUGUGGGAAGGCACAGACAGCCAGGAUGUUGGCUUAGAAGCAGCCAUCAUUUAAAGAAAGCGUAAUAGCUCACUGGUCGAGUCGGCCUGCGCGGAAGAUGUAACGGGGCUAAACCAUGCACCGAAGCUGCGGCAGCGACGCGUAUGCGUUGUUGGGUAGGGGAGCGUUCUGUAAGCCGUUGAAGGUGUGCUGUGAGGCAUGCUGGAGGUAUCAGAAGUGCGAAUGCUGACAUAAGUAACGAUAAAGCGGGUGAAAAGCCCGCUCGCCGGAAGACCAAGGGUUCCUGUCCAACGUUAAUCGGGGCAGGGUGAGUCGACCCCUAAGGCGAGGCCGAAAGGCGUAGUCGAUGGGAAACAGGUUAAUAUUCCUGUACUUGGUGUUACUGCGAAGGGGGGACGGAGAAGGCUAUGUUAGCCGGGCGACGGUUGUCCCGGUUUAAGCAUGUAGGCGGAGGUUCCAGGUAAAUCCGGUACCUUUUAACGCUGAGGUGUGAUGACGAGGCACUACGGUGCUGAAGUAACAAAUGCCCUGCUUCCAGGAAAAGCCUCUAAGCAUCAGGUAACAUCAAAUCGUACCCCAAACCGACACAGGUGGUCAGGUAGAGAAUACCAAGGCGCUUGAGAGAACUCGGGUGAAGGAACUAGGCAAAAUGGUGCCGUAACUUCGGGAGAAGGCACGCUGAUAUGUAGGUGAAGCCCCUGCGGGUGGAGCUGAAAUCAGUCGAAGAUACCAGCUGGCUGCAACUGUUUAUUAAAAACACAGCACUGUGCAAACACGAAAGUGGACGUAUACGGUGUGACGCCUGCCCGGUGCCGGAAGGUUAAUUGAUGGGGUUAGCGGCAACGCGAAGCUCUUGAUCGAAGCCCCGGUAAACGGCGGCCGUAACUAUAACGGUCCUAAGGUAGCGAAAUUCCUUGUCGGGUAAGUUCCGACCUGCACGAAUGGCGUAAUGAUGGCCAGGCUGUCUCCACCCGAGACUCAGUGAAAUUGAACUCGCUGUGAAGAUGCAGUGUACCCGCGGCAAGACGGAAAGACCCCGUGAACCUUUACUAUAGCUUGACACUGAACACUGGUCCUUGAUGUGUAGGAUAGGUGGGAGGCUUUGAAGCGUGGACGCCAGUCUGCGUGGAGCCGUCCUUGAAAUACCACCCUUUAAUGGCUGGUGUUCUAACGUAGACCCGUAAUCCGGGUUGCGGACAGUGUCUGGUGGGUAGUUUGACUGGGGCGGUCUCCUCCCAAAGAGUAACGGAGGAGCACGAAGGUUAGCUAAUCCUGGUCGGACAUCAGGAGGUUAGUGCAAUGGCAUAAGCUAGCUUGACUGCGAGAGUGACGGCUCGAGCAGGUGCGAAAGCAGGUCAUAGUGAUCCGGUGGUUCUGAAUGGAAGGGCCAUCGCUCAACGGAUAAAAGGUACUCCGGGGAUAACAGGCUGAUACCGCCCAAGAGUUCAUAUCGACGGCGGUGUUUGGCACCUCGAUGUCGGCUCAUCACAUCCUGGGGCUGAAGUAGGUCCCAAGGGUAUGGCUGUUCGCCAUUUAAAGUGGUACGCGAGCUGGGUUUAGAACGUCGUGAGACAGUUCGGUCCCUAUCUGCCGUGGGCGCUGGAGAAUUGAGGGGGGCUGCUCCUAGUACGAGAGGACCGGAGUGGACGCAUCACUGGUGUUCGGGUUGUCAUGCCAAUGGCACUGCCCGGUAGCUAAAUGCGGAAAAGAUAAGUGCUGAAAGCAUCUAAGCACGAAACUUGCCCCGAGAUGAGUUCUCCCUGACCCUUUAAGGGUCCUGAAGGAACGUUGAAGACGACGACGUUGAUAGGUCGGGUGUGUAAGCGCAGCGAUGCGUUGAGCUAACCGAUACUAAUGAACCGUGAGGCUUAACCUU
rnacentral:rRNA from 2 species